CACUGCCAUCCUCCUGCUACUCAAGUCCAGAUAGAUUUUGGAGAACCUGAUUCUGAGACUCCAGAAAGAUGUCUUAUCAGCAGCAGCAGUGCAAGCAGCCCUGCCAGCCCCCUCCAGUAGUGUGCCCUCCCAAGUGCCCUGAGCCUUGCCCACCUCCAAAGUGUCCUGAGCCAUGCCCACCUCCAAAGUGCCAGCAGAAAUGCCCUCCCGUGCCACCUCCCCAACAAUGCCAGCAGAAGUGCCCACCCAAAAGCAAGUAGAAGCAUCAGCUUGUAUCUGGAUCAGGAAAGGAUGAGGACAACUGACUCACCAUGCUCCACAGCUCCACCUUCAUCUUCCCUUUAAAGCCUAUCAUGGAUAUAGAAGAAGCUUCUCCUUCCUUCAGCCUGCAGUAUGCCUGUGGUGAUACCUGACAACCAGAGGUUUCCUUCCUGAGGCUGCUGUUCUGCUCUCCUCUGGGAGGACAGCUGGGAAAGCAUCACAGAGCUUCAGAUGGAAGAGCAGCAGCUUUUCUCCUGGGCACCAUCAGAGGAUUCUCUCCCUCUCUUGGGUCUGUCUGUCACCUGGGCAGGGGUUUCUACCAGCUGGUCAACUGUUGUUUAUCCUCCUCUUCAUGAAUAAACCACAGUUCCUUUGUGUGAUGGCAAAAA